rnacentral:rRNA from 2 species
CACGUAGGGCGCAAGCGUUGUCCGGAAUCAUUGGGCGUAAAGAGCUCGUAGGUGGUUUGUCACGUCUGCUGUGAAAACUCGGGGCUUAACCCCGAGCUUGCAGUGGAUACGGGCAGACUAGAGGUAGGUAGGGGAGAAUGGAAUUCCCGGUGUAGCGGUGAAAUGCGCAGAUAUCGGGAGGAACACCGGUGGCGAAGGCGGUUCUCUGGGCCUUACCUGACACUGAGGAGCGAAAGCGUGGGGAGCGAACAGG